AAAAUCGUCUCAUAAAUAACAAUUCUUGUAUAUAUGUUAUAGUCAAAGUCCGAUACACAGUCUCUUCGCGGAAGGACUGGUUUAUCCUAGGUUUGGCCAAAGCCGUCAGGCGAUCCCCGAAAUACAUUUCAAUUUCGCCCUUUGCCUGAAGUAUUUUUAGUCAAACCCAGGAGCUCCUAACUUUUCAGUCAAACGUCGAAAGUAAAUUAUUCUGUUUCGGUUUUGGCCUAGUCAAUCCUAGAAGCGACUGCAAAACUCGGUCAAACGUUGAUCUGAACAUGUUUAAACAGGUUCAUAAUGUCUCUCGCGGUGUUCCGA